rnacentral:rRNA from 1 species
GAUGAACGCUAGCGGCAGGCCUAAUACAUGCAAGUCGAGCGGCAAGUUGAGUAGUAAUACUUAACCUAGAGCGGCGCACGGGUGCGUAACGCGUAUGCAACCUACCUUUUACUGGGGGAUAGCCCGGAGAAAUCUGGAUUAAUACCCCAUGGUAUCUACGAAUCGAAUGGUUUGUAGCUUAAAGAUUUAUCGGUAAGAGAUGGGCAUGCGUCUGAUUAGCUGGUUGGCGGGGUAACGGCCCACCAAGGCGACGAUCAGUAGGGGUUCUGAGAGGAAGGUCCCCCACACUGGCACUGAGAUACGGGCCAGACUCCUACGGGAGGCAGCAGUAGGGAAUAUUGGGCAAUGGUCGCAAGACUGACCCAGCCAUGCCGCGUGCGGGAAGACGGCCCUCUGGGUUGUAAACUGCUUUUAUCUGGGAAGAAAAAGUCCAUGCGUGGAAAAUUGCCGGUACCAGAUGAAUAAGCACCGGCUAACUCCGUGCCAGCAGCCGCGGUAAUACGGAGGGUGCAAGCGUUGUCCGGAUUUAUUGGGUUUAAAGGGUGCGUAGGCGGCUGAAUAAGUCAGCGGUGAAAGACUUCGGCUUAACCGGAGCAGUGCCGUUGAUACUGUUUAGCUUGAGUGUUGGAGGGGUACAUGGAAUUGAUGGUGUAGCGGUGAAAUGCAUAGAUACCAUCAGGAACACCGAUAGCGAAGGCAUUGUACUGGCCAACAACUGACGCUGAGGCACGAAAGUGUGGGGAUCGAACAGGAUUAGAUACCCUGGUAGUCCACACCGUAAACGAUGAUUACUCGCUGUUAUGGUGUAUGCUGUAGCGGCCAAGCGAAAGCGUUAAGUAAUCCACCUGGGGAGUACGCCGGCAACGGUGAAACUCAAAGGAAUUGACGGGGGCCCGCACAAGCGGUGGAGCAUGUGGUUUAAUUCGAUGAUACGCGAGGAACCUUACCAGGGUUUAAAUGGGAAUUGACAGAUGCCGAAAGG